UACGUGGGGUGCAAGCGUUGUUCGGAAUUACUGGGCGUAAAGCGCGUGUAGGCGGUCUGUUAUGUCAGGUGUGAAAGCCCUCGGCCCAACUGAGGAAGUGCGCCUGAAACUGGCAGACUUGAGUACGAGAGAGGAGGACGGAAUUCCCAGUGUAGAGGUGAAAUUCGUAGAUAUUGGGAGGAACACCGGCGGCGAAAGCGGUCCUCUGGAUCGAUACUGACGCUAAGACGCGAAAGCGUGGGUAGCAAACAGG
rnacentral:rRNA from 1 species